UACGUAGGUGGCAAGCGUUGUCCGGAUUUAUUGGGUUUAAAGGGUGCGUAGGCGGUCUAUUAAGUCAGUGGUGAAAUAUGGCAGCUUAACUGUCAAGGUGCCAUUGAUACUGAUGGACUUGAAUGAAGUCGAGGUUGGCGGAAUUGACGGUGUAGCGGUGAAAUGCUUAGAUAUCGGAAGGAACACCGAUGGCGAAAGCAGCGUGCUGGACCUUUUCUGACGCUGAGGCGCGAAAGCCAGGGGAGCAAACGGG
rnacentral:rRNA from 1 species